UGCAGUCGACGAAGGCUUCGGCCUUAGUGGCGCACGGGUGAGUAACACGUGGGAACCUGCCUUAUGGUUCGGGAUAACGUCUGGAAACGGACGCUAACACCGGAUGUGCCCUUCGGGGGAAAGUUUACGCCAUGAGAGGGGCCCGCGUCCGAUUAGGUAGUUGGUGGGGUAAUGGCCCGCCAAGCCGACGAUCGGUAGCUGGUCUGAGAGGAUGAUCAGCCACGCUGGGACUGAGACACGGCCCAGACUCCUACGGGAGGCAGCAGUGGGGAAUAUUGGACAAUGGGGGCAACCCUGAUCCAGCAAUGCCGCGUGAGUGAUGAAGGCCUUAGGGUUGUAAAGCUCUUUCGCACGCGACGAUGAUGACGGUAGCGUGAGAAGAAUCCCCGGCUAACUUCGAGCCAGCAGCCGCGGUAAUACGAAGGGGGCGAGCGUUGUUCGGAAUUACUGGGCGUAAAGGGCGCGUAGGCGGCCUGUUUAGUCAGAAGUGAAAGCCCCGGGCUUAACCUGGGAACGGCUUUUGAUACUGGCAGGCUUGAGUUCCGGAGAGGAUGGUGGAAUUCCCAGUGUAAAGGUGAAAUUCGUAGAUAUUGUGAAGAACUCCGGUGGCGAAG
rnacentral:rRNA from 1 species